rnacentral:tRNA from 1 species
AGGGAUGUAUCUCAGUGGUACCAGCGCUUGCCUAGCAGGCUCAAGAGCCUGGGUUCCAUCCCCAGCACCACAA